CGUGUAGGCGGAGGAGCAAGUCAGAUGUGAAAUCCCGGGGCUUAACCCCGGAACUGCAUUUGAAACUGUUCCCCUUGAGUAUCGGAGAGGUAAGUGGAAUUCCUAGUGUAGCGGUGGAAUGCGUAGAUAUUAGGAGGAACAUCAGUGGCGAAGGCGACUUACUGGACGAUAACUGACGCUGAGGCACGAAAGCGUGGGGAGCAAACA
rnacentral:rRNA from 1 species